rnacentral:lncRNA from 1 species
ACCCCUCGAGUCAACGGAAGCCAGGCUCUGCUUGGUCAUCCCUGAGGCCGUGGAUCUCAUCCAGCAAGGGAGGCUGUGCCCCCAGCGGAACGUGUGGGCUCUGCGAGCGUCCGCCCCCCUGGGAUCCCCGGGGUUCCACCUUCCUAGCAACAUCCAGAUGUGUCAUCAUUCCAGGGGUCUGAUUAGCUGUAGAACGUGCUAUUUCCUUGUUCUCAGGAUUCAUCUGCGUUAACUCUGCUGCUAAUUGGGUUUGUAUCUGGCAGCGGUGACAUCGAAAAAAAGGUUUUGUAGUCAAUUAUGUUCUCCCGGAACACACUGGAAGGGGGUGUCCUGUCAAUGCUGAGGGGCUCCCUACCUUAAUGAGCCCCAGACAAAGGCACAAAAGGACAUUAUGGUCCCUGAGCACCUGUCCUUAGUGGCUUCUGUAGAACAAGAAACUGAAGCUCUAUCUGGGCCCUGCGUGCGUGGGCUUUGCUGCACUUUCAAAUGGCCCGUUUCCCGUGGCGCGCAUCUGAGUGUGAUCAGAGUGUGAUCAGGUGUGUCAGGGCCACUUGGAAAAAUCGUCCCCGAGGAAAUGAAAUGUGCAAAGGCCCUUCCUGCAGCCUGAGGAUGGCAGGUUGGGUUUAACUGCACCGAAGCCGGGGAAACGGACACUUAGGGUCCCCGCCGCCCCCAGAACAGCAGCACCCACAGCCCACACCUGGAGGAAGAGAAAUGGAAUUCUUCCCGCAAGUUCUUUUUCGGGCCCAGAACAAAUCAUUCUUCUACUGUUUUAACAUCCUGAGUGUGGGUGGAAGCAAUGCUUACUUACGUCUUAUGGAAAAGAUGGGGUGUUUAUAGAAGAAGCAUCUAGCCAACCGGGGCGAUCGCGGGAAGGCCCAGUGCUCAUGCCCGGAAACAGCAAGGCCUCGGCUUUUUUUUUUUUUCCUCCUCUUGCUUUGGGUCUUAGUGGGUCAAUUUCUGCUAGUUUUUUAGAACACGGGGGGUUGCCAGUCCUCUGCCUGGAAGACCCGGAGGCGCCUCCCGGCCGCAGGGGAACCGAAAAGCAGGGAAAGCUCCCCUGGAACUGCUCAGACCGCCCGGGGCCUGGAGCGCCUGCGAGGGGGCGGCGGGUCAGCGAGCGGCCCCCACACCCCUGAGCCGGUGCCUGAGGCCGGGCCCCUGCAGGUGACACGGUGCCCCUCCGUGUCCCCCUCCCGCCGUGGGACCUGGGCCGCACUCGUCCUGCCUCGCAGCCUGCACGUUGGGGAGGAGCCGAGGGGGCAGGGGGGGCCUCUGGGGCCGCAGGGCCCGAGGGGUGCGGGGGGUGCGCAGGGCGGGAAGGGCUGGGUGCCGCGUGGCUGCGGGGCCAGGCUGCCGACCGCGGGUUCCUUCUGGGUGAUGCUCCGAGCGCCUCGCCUCCGAAUUGCACCAUCAGCGGGGAGCACCCCCCCCCAUCUCCUGCCUAAGUGGAUUCUGGAGAGGAGCCCGGCUCUGAGAAGGCACCUCCGGGAGCUCAAAGGCACAGCAGGAGCGCACCGAGCACCGCGGACCUGGGGCGGUCUUCAAGUAAAAUCAAAGCUCCAGACAGAUGCACAUCUGUCCAGGAGCUCCAGGUACCCCUGAGGCCCACCAACCUGCCAGAGUCAUGACCACACUAAGCUCCUACCACCAACGCACUGAGACGGCCCGCAGCCCACAGCAAGAACACACAGAUGUUGGCAAUCGAACCGGUCAUGGCCAUAGCACAGGCUGAUGUCCUUAAAAUUAAGAUGACAGGGCAGCCCAGGUGGCUCAGCGGUUUAGCGCCGCCUUCAGCACGGGGCGCGAUCCUGGGAUCGAGUCCCACGUCGGGCUCCCUGCGUGGAGCCUGCUUCUCCCUCUGCCUGUGUCUCUGCCUCUCUCUGUGUCUCUCAUGAAUAAAUAAAAUCUUUAAAAAAAUUAAUAUGACAGAUAAAAUAGUACUUGAAUAAAAGUCAGUCUCAGCUAGAUAGGAGUCUAGCUAGAUAACACCUGAAGCCGACAAAUGUCUUCAUUUGUUGUAAGGCCUCUAACACAGAAAUAAGGUGAAACCCCCUGAAGAGUCGCAUUCGUCCAGAUUCUCUGUCGCUGAGGUCCAGAACACUAAGUAAUUCUGUCACUUGUGCAGAAGGCUCAUCCUGUUCACCUGUAAUUAGCUAAGUGCUCCCCAAACCAAAUUAUUUGGGGAGAAGAUGAGGCAAAUGUGACUGUAAACAGGAUCACAGUGGGUCACUAUGCUUGGGGAUUUAGCUGACACGUCGCAGGCUUGCUUCCGCUAAAGAAACCCGUUCGUACAUUUAUGUCUCUGUGGUUUUUGAACUAAACUGGAGCAUGCUUAGAUCAGUGCCAUGUGCAGCAUCCUCAUGGGGUAUUUCACUGACGUCUCAGAAAUUCUCUUUGACUUUUGCCAGAUUUUUACCCCGCAGGAUUCAGAAGGUUCCACCCACUUAGGAAAAGAUAAAGGGCUGACCCCGAGAUGACUAGCUCUCUGAGAGUUGGUCACUUUUUAGCCAAAGGGAUAUUUGAGGCUUUGUGAGAAUCAUGUCCAAAUGGUUAGGAGUCAACUGAGGGGAAAGGGGGGCAUUUGAUUGAAAGACUCCAACAGUAUUUUUGAAUUCCUUGUAUUGUCUGCUUUAUGAUGUUCUGAGAGGCAUGACAAACUUCUCUCUCUCUCUUUUUUUUUUUUUAAGAUUUUAUUUAUUUAUUCAUGAGAAGCACAGAGAGGGAGGCAGAGACAUAGGCCGAGGGAGAAGCAGGGUCCAUGCAGGGAGCCCGAUGUGGGAUCCUCGUGACCCCGGGAUCACGACCUGAGCCGAAGGGAGACCUCAACCUUCAACCCAGGUGCCCCACAAACUUUUCCUUGGUAAUUUCUGUUAUUUUAUUUUAUUUAAAGAGAUGUGUUUGAGAGAGUGUGUAUGAGCAGUGGGGGGGGGGGCCUAGAGAGGGGAUCUCGAGCAGACCCCCUGCUGAGCAUGGAACCUGCAUGGAACCUGUGAUGGGGCUCGAUCUCAUGGCCCUGAGGUCACCACCUGAGCCAAACCCAAGCAUCGACACUUGAUCGACUGCACCACCCAGGCACCCCUUCUUUGGCAAUUUUUAAGGUGAAAGUAUUACUGUGCCUCUUAUUUCAAUAAAUACAGUCACUCUCCAGCAAAAUACAAGAUUUCAAAGGCUACAUAUAGUUACUUAUUUGGUUACAUUUUUUUUUUUUGCCCCAGUGCAUUAAUCCCACUGUAAAAUAACAGAAAAGUUCCACUGUGAAAAAUGCAUGCAAGGUGAAAAACAAUGUUUAAGUAACCUUUAUCCCAAUGCGAUUAUUGCUUUGAGGAAAAUCACCAAAAAACAGAAUUUAAAAUUUUAAAUUCCCUGUGUCUCUGCUGAGACAGACAUUAGAAAAUGCUGUAAUAUUAGUGCAAGCCUUUUCUGAAGUGAGUUCUUUAUUAAUUUUAUUUUUGAUAAUUCCUGUCACCGUGUCAACACUAGAACAUUCUUGGUCCAAAUUAAAACUAAUUAAAAGUUAUUUAGGGAACACAAGUGAAUAACAAUGUUUAACAGUUAGCACCUCUCAGAAUAGAAACUCAAGCAGCUUACAAGAUGGAAGCUGAAAAACACUCAUGAUUUUGACUCCUUCAGAGCACAGCAAAAACUGGUUUGCUUAUGUAACCGAUGUAAACCCAGGCUCCUACCCGGUCUGGUCUUGGCACUGGUUCAGACCUGCAGAAAAACAGAAUUGAAAACAAUUCAAAUCUUUCUGCCUCCUAAGAUGCCAAAGGUAGGAGGUGUGUUUUAAAUAUCCAGCAAACUCCUAAAGAGACUGUUGGCACUUGUCUCUCAGUCUCUGGUUCUCUGACCAGCUCUCCCCCUUCUGUGUCCCCUCCUGCUCCAGAGACCCAGCCUGAGGCUUCCUCCCACUCCCUCUUUUCUCUCUUUUUUUUUUUUUUUUUUUUUUUUAAGAUUUUUAUGUAUGUAUUCAUGAGAGGCAGAGACACAGGCAGAGGGAGGAGCAGGCUCCACGCAGGAGCCCGACGUGGGACUUGAUCCCGGGACACUGGGGUCACACCCUGAGCCAAAGGCUGAUGCUCACCCACUGAGCCACCCAGGCGUCCCCCACUCCCUCUUUUCAUGUGUCCUUCACUCUGGUGUCCCAGGCCUCCGUUUUCCCUCCGAUUGCUAGUUCCCAGGAUCUGUGUGACAAAAUUGAAAACACACCCCUCAUUAGAGGCGGAGGGUAGGGAUAGAGCACAUUAGAUUUGGCAUCCCACCCAUUUAUUUGUGUCCAUCCCAGAGAAUAUGAAAAGCCGACUGCAGAAGAAUUUGGCCACCGAAGCAUUUCCUGAAUUAGUCAGGGGGCUAGACCCCGGAGCUGCAGGGGGCCAAGGCCCUGCGAGCUCUGCUUUGUCUCGCAGCCACAGCUCACACUUGGCGGUGACUCCGCUGUGUCAGAAAUGUACCAAGACGGCAUAUACUGUGAUUGGGUUCUCAGAUGUUUCUUAUACUUUACAUAUUUAUCAAAUCUUUCACUCAAGCUUUCUUUUUUUUUAUUUUUUUAAGCUUUUCUUUUAGAAGGACAGUAUACACACACACACACACACACACGCACACGCACACACACAGUUUUUUCUUUUAAGUCACAGUGCAGUUCUAGAUGAAGCAAGGCUGGGGAACAAGAAGCUCCACCCUUAGGGCACGUGGUCCCCUUCCACCUUCUCCCCUCCUGCCCUUGCUCUCGUGGCCGCCUCCCAGGGGCUCCUUGGAGCACAGUCAGGACUAUGAGUUACAGAUGGAGCAACAUACUUAGAGUCCGAAAUAGCAGACUCCUGCCCUGGUAAGCUCUGCUACUUACGACCUAAGUGGCCUUGGCCACCGUGACCCCACCCCCCACAGGGCUGCUGUGACACUGAACUGGUACACAGCAGUUCUCACCAAAUGGUGACUUCCUAUCUUUAGUCUCAAGGGAACAAAGAAGAGACUAAAGGUAGGUGGACAAGGGCAAAUCCAUCCCCGCCACUGGAAAAAAGCAGCACCAAGAUGGGGUGACCCAUGGUAGGUGGGCUGCAAUCUGUUUGGCAGGUCCCAAGAGGCAUUUCCGUAAUUCGAUGAUUACAGGUCCAGUACAGCUGUACGAACCUACCAGCCUGGGGGCGCCUGGGUGGCUGGUUAAGCAUCUCCUUCAGCUCAGGUCAUGACCCCAGGAUCCUGGGAUCGAGCCCCACGGCAGGCUCCCUGCUCAGCGGGGAGUCUGCUUCUCCCUCUCCCUCUACUGCUCCCCCUACUUGUCCUCUCUUUGUCAAAUAAAAAAAUAAAAUCUUAAAAAAAAAAAAAAAAAAAAGCAUCAGCCUGUCUGUGUGGCACUGGAAAAAAAAAAAAAAAAGAAUUCACAGAAACAGAUUAUUUCAGACACACUGAGACAGUGACAGGCAGGUCACUUGAUGUGAACUGGAUAAAAUCUCCGAGACUGAAGAAGUCCGGAUUUUCAAAUGAAGGUUUUUGGCUCUUGAGCUGCCCAGUGGAGAGUUCCUUGGAAAUGUAAAUAUUGGAACAUGAAAAGGCACAGUUGGACUCUCUUAGGGGCUGAGACCUGACCCCUCUUUCUUGACACUUGUUGGGGGAGACCCCUGCUCCAGGAGUCCCCGAGAAUGCACCUGAGCAGCCUGCCUCCCGGGAAAGAGCCUGCCAGGCGGGCCUGCAGGGCAUUUUCGGGGAACGGCCCAACCCCAACCGGGCCCAGGGAGACAGAGCCCAGGGCAACAGGCG